UGGUGGAGUGAUUUGUCUGGUUAAUUCCGAUAACGAACGAGACCUUAACCUGCUAAAUAGCCAGGCCGGCUUUCGCUGGUCGCCGGCUUCUUAGAGGGACUGUCAGCGUCUAGCCGACGGAAGUUUGAGGCAAUAACA
rnacentral:rRNA from 1 species